UAAACCUUAUAAAAGCAUAGAUGCAAUUAUUAUUAUAUCAAAUUGUUCCCUAGAACUAGAUUUAAAGGUUUCAAAAUGAAGAAAUUGAAAUUGAUCUUUCUCUUUCUCAUUUUGACUGCCAUACUACAAAUGACAUCUGCAGCCCCUAAAUGGUGUGGUAAUAAUUGUGAUAGUGAGGAGAAAGGCGGCGGUGGUGGUGCAGGACGAAGAAAUAGCGAUUAUCGUUCUAAUAAGUUUACUGGUAAUGGUAGUGGUGGAGGAAGAAGAAACAGCGGUUCUCGUUCUAAUAAGUUUACUGGUAAUGGUAGUGGUGGAGGAAGAAGAAACAGCGGUUCUCGUUCUAAUAAGUUUACUGGUAAUGGAAAUGGUGGAGGAAGAAGAAAUAGCGGUUCUCGUUCUAAUAAGUUUAAUGGUUAUUGAACAGGAAGAAAAAGAAACUGAAACAGGUUCACACAUGCAUUCAGAAAGAAGUUCCAAAUGUCAUAUACUACUCCUUGUAGUUGAAUGAAAUUACACAAUCAAAUAAAUUCGUUUUCUCAAAA